UCCAUGGACAGAGGAACCUGGUGGACCACAGUCCAUGGGGGUCACAAAGAGCCAGACACGACUGAGCAACUAACACAGGAGGUGCUCAGCACACUGCUUCUCUGUAUGUGCCAGGCAUCCAGGCACGGCUGUCUGAAGUCCUUUUCAAGCAUCAGUCCAUUGAAUUCUCACAACAACAAGAGAAGAGUGAUGCUGGUGAGUUGUAACCCUGAAAGGAGAGCACCUCUACCCUUGCUGUGCUGGGUCUUCAUGGUGGCAUGUGGGAUCUUAGUUCCUGGACCAGGAUUCGAAUCUGCAUCCCCUGCAUUGGAAGGUGGAUUUUUAACCACUGGACCACCAGUAAGGUCCCCCAGGGUCUGUUUAUCACCUGGUUGUCUGCUACCAAAUGUUCCCUCCCUGCUCCUUCCUGAUCUGUUGCCCUGUUCCUAUGACGCCCCAGUGCCUCCCCAGCUAUUCUCCAGGACCCCCAGCCUUCAAGACCCUUCGGGAGCCUUUGGGUCUCAUGAAGUCUUCCUGGACUACUUAAGCCCCCUAGUACUUCAGCUUUCACACCUGUGAAG
ensembl:lncRNA